rnacentral:rRNA from 1 species
UACAGAGGGUGCGAGCGUUGUUCGGAAUUAUUGGGCGUAAAGGGCGCGUAGGCGGUGCGGUAAGUCACCUGUGAAAUCUCCUGGCUCAACUGGGAGCUUGCAGGCGAAACUGCCGUGCUGGAGUGUGGGAGAGGUGCGUGGAAUUCCUGGUGUAGCGGUGAAAUGCGCAGAUAUCGGGAGGAACACCGAUGGCGAAGGCAGGUCUCUGGGCAUUAACUGACGCUGAGGAGCGAAAGCAUGGGGAGCGAACGAGG